rnacentral:tRNA from 1 species
GACGGUGUGGUGAAGUGGUUUAACGCGGCCGGCUGCAAACCGGUUAUUUCGUAGGUCCGAAUCCUACCACCGCCU